AUGAUAUGUUUAUAUACAAUGUACUAAGGAUUAGGGUUGACAUUUUGGGCUUUAUAAACGAGUGGCUUAAACUGUGCCAGUAAGGUUACAGCAUUGUUAAUAGUGCACAACACAGAACACACUGUACAUCAUUUUGGGAGUGAAUUCCUUUGUGUUUAUCCUGAUACCCAAAAUGGCAGACAGGAUAGGCAUGUACGUGCGCUGUGCAAUGAGUAAGUGUUAAAUGAAAUAUUGGAUGGUAACCUUAUUCUAUUAAGUGAAAGUUUUGUGCUUAGCUACUUUUUGUGCUUAAGCAGCUCUUCUAUGAAACUAGCCCCUGGUUAUAUCAUCUGAAUGACGCUAAACCUGAUUAUUAAAGUUUAAUUUGUAUGGAAAAAAUAGACAUAAAUAUUGGUUAGCUAUAAAAUGUGAAUUACUCUGUCAACAUUUAUCUUAUAGAUGACAUGGUAUGAAAAAGUAGUGUGAAUGUAACUAAGUUUGUAUCAUUGGUAUUCAGGUUGGCUCAGUGGUAUUCAGGCUGGUUCAGUGGUUUCUUUCCCAUCAUUGGUAUUCAGGUUGGCUCAGUGGUUUCUUUCCCUCCCUUUCACCUUAAUAGACCCCGGUUUGAAUCCAACCUCAGACUGCAGCCUUCAGGCUGGUUCAGUGGCUUCUUUCCCAUCAUUGGUAUUCAGGUUGGCUCAGUGGUUUCUUUCCCUCCCUUUCACCUUAAUAGACCCCGGUUUGAAUCCAACCUCAGACUGCAGCCUUCAGGCUGGUUCAGUGGUUUCUUUCCCAUCAUUGGUAUUCAGGUUGGCUCAGUGGUUUCUUUCCCAUCAUUGGUAUUCAGGUUGGC